UACAGAGGGUGCAAGCGUUAAUCGGAAUUACUGGGCGUAAAGCGUGCGCAGGCGGUUCGUUAUGUCCGAUGUGAAAGCCCCGAGCUCAACUUGGGAAUGGCAUUGGAAACUGGCGGGCUGGAGUGUGGCAGAGGGGGGUGGAAUUCCACGUGUAGCAGUGAAAUGCGUAGAGAUGUGGAGGAACACCGAUGGCGAAGGCAGCCCCCUGGGCCAACACUGACGCUCAGGCACGAAAGCGUGGGGAGCAAACAGG
rnacentral:rRNA from 1 species